rnacentral:rRNA from 1 species
UAGGGAAUCUUCGGCAAUGGACGAAAGUCUGACCGAGCAACGCCGCGUGAGUGAAGAAGGUUUUCGGAUCGUAAAACUCUGUUGUUAGAGAAGAACAAGGACGUUAGUAACUGAACGUCCCCUGACGGUAUCUAACCAGAAAGCCACGGCUAACUACGUGCCAGCAGCCGCGGUAAUACGUAGGUGGCAAACGUUGUCCGGAUUUAUUGGGCGUAAAGCGAGCGCAGGCGGUUUCUUAAGUCUGAUGUGAAAGCCCCCGGCUCAACCGGGGAGGGUCAUUGGAAACUGGGAGACUUGAGUGCAGAAGAGGAGAGUGGAAUUCCAUGUGUAGCGGUGAAAUGCGUAGAUAUAUGGAGGAACACCAGUGGCGAAGGCGGCUCUCUGGUCUGUAACUGACGCUGAGGCUCGAAAGCGUGGGGAGCAAACAGG